CAGCAGCCGCGGUAAUACGGAGGGCGCGAGCGUUACCCGGAUUUACUGGGCGUAAAGGGCGUGUAGGCGGCCUGGGGCAUCCCAUGUGAAAGGCCACGGCUCAACCGUGGAGGAGCGUGGGAUACGCUCAGGCUAGAGGGUGGGAGAGGGUGGUGGAAUUCACGGAGUAGCGGUGAAAUGCGCAGAUACCGGGAGGAACGCCGAUGGCGAAGGCAGCCACCUGGUCCACUUCUGACGCUGAGGCGCGAAAGCGUGGGGAGCAAACCGGAUUAGAUACCCGGGUAGUCCCUGUCUCUUAUAC
rnacentral:rRNA from 1 species